UUACGGCCACAACACGUUGAAACACCGGUUCCCGUACGAUCACAGAAGUUAAGCAACAUCGAGCCUGGUCAGUACUUAGUCGGAUGACCGUCAGG